rnacentral:rRNA from 1 species
CAGAGGGUGCAAGCGUUAAUCGGAUUUACUGGGCGUAAAGCGCGCGUAGGUGGCCAAUUAAGUCAAAUGUGAAAUCCCCGAGCUUAACUUGGGAAUUGCAUUCGAUACUGGUUGGCUAGAGUAUGGGAGAGGAUGGUAGAAUUCCAGGUGUAGCGGUGAAAUGCGUAGAGAUCUGGAGGAAUACCGAUGGCGAAGGCAGCCAUCUGGCCUAAUACUGACACUGAGGUGCGAAAGCAUGGGGAGCAAA